AUGAACGCUAGCGACAGGCCUAACACAUGCAAGUCGAGGGGCAGCGAAGAGGUAGCAAUACCUUUGUCGGCGACCGGCGCACGGGUGAGUAACACGUAUGCAAUCCACCUGUAACAGGGGGAUAACCCGGAGAAAUCCGGACUAAUACCCCAUAAUAUGGGCGCUCCGCAUGGAGAGCCCAUUAAAGAGAGCAAUUUUGGUUACAGACGAGCAUGCGCUCCAUUAGCCAGUUGGCGGGGUAACGGCCCACCAAAGCGACGAUGGAUAGGGGUUCUGAGAGGAAGGUCCCCCACAUUGGAACUGAGACACGGUCCAAACUCCUACGGGAGGCAGCAGUGAGGAAUAUUGGUCAAUGGUCGGCAGACUGAACCAGCCAAGUCGCGUGAGGGAAGACGGCCCUACGGGUUGUAAACCUCUUUUGUCGGAGAGUAAAGUACGCUACGUGUAGUGUAUUGCAAGUAUCCGAAGAAAAAGCAUCGGCUAACUCCGUGCCAGCAGCCGCGGUAAUACGGAGGAUGCAAGCGUUAUCCGGAUUUAUUGGGUUUAAAGGGUGCGUAGGCGGCACGCCAAGUCAGCGGUGAAAUUUCCGGGCUCAACCCGGAGUGUGCCGUUGAAACUGGCGAGCUAGAGUACACAAGAGGCAGGCGGAAUGCGUGGUGUAGCGGUGAAAUGCAUAGAUAUCACGCAGAACCCCGAUUGCGAAGGCAGCCUGCUAGGGUGAAACAGACGCUGAGGCACGAAAGCGUGGGUAUCGAACAGGAUUAGAUACCCUGGUAGUCCACGCAGUAAACGAUGAAUACUAACUGUUUGCGAUACAAUGUAAGCGGUACAGCGAAAGCGUUAAGUAUUCCACCUGGGGAGUACGCCGGCAACGGUGAAACUCAAAGGAAUUGACGGGGACCCGCACAAGCGGUGGAGCAUGUGGUUUAAUUCGACGCAACGCGAAGAACCUUACCAGGGCUUGACAUCCCUUGACCACCAUGGAAACAUGGGUUUCGGACCUUCGGGUCUGACAAGGAGACAGGUGGUGCAUGGUUGUCGUCAGCUCGUGCCGUGAGGUGUCGGCUUAAGUGCCAUAACGAGCGCAACCCCUAUCGACAGUUACUAACGGGUCAAGCCGAGGACUCUGUCGAGACUGCCGGCGCAAGCCGCGAGGAAGGUGGGGAUGACGUCAAAUCAGCACGGCCCUUACGUCCGGGGCGACACACGUGUUACAAUGGCAGGUACAGAAGGCAGCCAGUCAGCAAUGACGCGCGAAUCCCGAAAACCUGUCUCAGUUCGGAUUGGAGUCUGCAACCCGACUCCAUGAAGCUGGAUUCGCUAGUAAUCGCGCAUCAGCCAUGGCGCGGUGAAUACGUUCCCGGGCCUUGUACACACCGCCCGUCAAGCCAUGGAAGCCGGGAGUACCUGAAGCAUGCAACCGCAAGGAGCGUACGAAGGUAAUACCGGUAACUGGGGCU
rnacentral:rRNA from 1 species